rnacentral:rRNA from 1 species
AUUGAACGCUGGCGGCAGGCUUAACACAUGCAAGUCGAGCGAGCGGCGGACGGGUGAGUAAUGUCUGGGACUCUGCCUGAUGGAGGGGGAUCACUACUGGACACGGUCGCUAAUACCGUAUACCCUCAGAUGUGCCCAGAUGGGAUUCGCUUGUAGGUGGGGUAAUGGCUCACCUAGGCGACGAUCCCUAGCUGGUCUGAGAGGAUGACCAGCCACACUGGAACUGAGACACGGCCCAGACUCCUACGGGAGGCAGCAGUGGGGAAUAUUGCACAAUGGGCGCAAGCCUGAUGCAGCCAUGCCGCGUGUGUGAAGAAGGCCUUCGGGUUGUAAAGCACUUUCAGCGGGGAGGCGUUACUCGCAGAAGAAGCACCGGCUAACUCCGUGCCAGCAGCCGCGGUAAUAC